UACAGAGGGCCCGAGCGUUGUUCGGAUUUACUGGGCGUAAAGGGUGCGUAGGCGGUGUGGUAAGUUUGAGGUGAAAGCUCCGGGCUCAACCCGGAAAAUGCCUUGAAAACUAUCCGGCUAGAGGGUUGGAGGGGAGACUGGAAUUCUCGGUGUAGCAGUGAAAUGCGUAGAUCUCGAGAGGAACACCAGUGGCGAAGGCGGGUCUCUGGACAACACCUGACGCUGAGGCACGAAAGCCAGGGGAGCAAACGGG
rnacentral:rRNA from 1 species